rnacentral:lncRNA from 1 species
AAUUUAGGACCACGAGGACCUACCAUCAAAUCCUUAGGCAUAAUGGAACAUCUGAUUCAAUGAUCGGUUCCGUUAGAUUUGAUCUACGUUAUUAUAACUAUUUAAAAACUAAAUUUUAUAAUUUUUUGAUUUCGUUUGCCUAAUAAACGAGUAGUCUCAAAAUGAACAACUGAAAACAAAAAUCUCAUAAAAAAUAGUGAUAAAAGAUUCAAAUUUUAAAUCGGAAGUAUUGAUUCUGCUCUUGAUGUUAAGUAAAAUUUUUUAUUAAAAUUUCAUAUAAUUUAAAUUGUUCCACACUAUUAAACUUACGAAAGUAUCACAUCGGCCGUUAAAAUAGUAAUUUUUGAGAUCCUUUUGAUCACUUGAUAAAUGAUGCUGAAAAAUUAUAAAAUUUGAUUUCUAAAUAAUUUUA